UACUGCACCAUUGGAUUGGUGUGUAUUAUUAGGUAUUACUGCACCAUUGGAUUGGUGUGUAUUAUUAGGUAUUACUGCACCAUUGGAUUGGUGUGUAUUAUUAGGUAUUACUGCACCAUUGGAUUGGUGUGUAUUAUUAGGUAUUACUGCACUGUUGGAUUGGUGUGUAUUAUUAGGUAUUACUGCACCGUUGGAUUGGUGUGUAUUAUUAGGUAUUACUGCACUGUUGGAUUGGUGUGUAUUAUUAGGUAUUACUGCACUGUUGGAUUGGUGUGUAUUAUUAGGUAUUACUGCACUGUUGGAUUGGUGUGUAUUAUUAGGUAUUACUGCACCAUUGGAUUGGUGUGUAUUAUUAGGUAUUACUGCACCAUUGGAUUGGUGUGUA